GAUGAACGCUGGCGGCGUGCCUAAUACAUGCAAGUCGAGCGAACGGACGAGAAGCUUGCUUCUCUGAUGUUAGCGGCGGACGGGUGAGUAACACGUGGAUAACCUACCUAUAAGACUGGGAUAACUUCGGGAAACCGGCGCUAAUACCGGAUAAUAUUUUGAACCGCAUGGUUCAAAAGUGAAAGACGGUCUUGCUGUCACUUAUAGAUGGAUCCGCGCUGCAUUAGCUAGUUGGUAAGGUAACGGCUUACCAAGGCAACGAUGCAUAGCCGACCUGAGAGGGUGAUAGCCGACACGGGAGCUGAGACACCGUCCAGACUCCUGCGGGAGGCAGCAGUAGGGAAUCGUCCGCAAUGGGCGAAAGCCUGGCGGAGCAACGCCGCGUGAGUGAUGAAGGUCUUCGGAUCGUAAAACUCUGUUAUUAGGGAAGAACAUAUGUGUAAGUAACUGUGCACAUCGUGACGGUACCUAAUCAGAAAGCCACGGCUAACUACGUG
rnacentral:rRNA from 1 species